AUUGAACGCUAGCGGGAUGCCUUACACAUGCAAGUCGAACGGAGUGUCGAACGGGUGAGUAAUGUAUCGGAACGUGCCCCGUAGCGGGGGAUAACUACGCGAAAGCGUAGCUAAUACCGCAUACUAUUGGAGCGGCCGAUAUCGGAUUAGCUAGUUGGUGGGGUAACGGCUCACCAAGGCGACGAUCCGUAGCUGGUUUGAGAGGACGACCAGCCACACGGGGACUGAGCCACAGACCAGACUCAUACGAGAGGCAGCAGUGGGGAAUGUUGGACAAUGGGGGAAAGCCUGAUCCAGCCAUCCCGCGUGUGCGAUGAAGGCCUUCGGGUUGUAAAGCACUGUUGGCAGGAAAGCGGUACCUGCAGAAUAAGCACCGGCUAACUACGUGCCAGCAGCCGCGGUAAUAC
rnacentral:rRNA from 1 species